rnacentral:rRNA from 1 species
AACGAACGCUGGCGGCAUGCCUAACACAUGCAAGUCGAACGAGACCUUCGGGUCUAGUGGCGCACGGGUGCGUAACGCGUGGGAACCUGCCCUUGGGUUCGGAAUAACUCCCCGAAAGGGGUGCUAAUACCGGAUGAUGUCUUAGGACCAAAGAUUUAUCGCCUAUGGAUGGGCCCGCGUUGGAUUAGCUAGUUGGUAGGGUAAAAGCCUACCAAGGCGACGAUCCAUAGCUGGUCUGAGAGGAUGAUCAGCCACACUGGGACUGAGACACGGCCCAGACUCCUACGGGAGGCAGCAGUGGGGAAUAUUGGACAAUGGGCGAAAGCCUGAUCCAGCAAUGCCGCGUGAGUGAUGAAGGCCUUAGGGUUGUAAAGCUCUUUUACCCGGGAUGAUAAUGACAGUACCGGGAGAAUAAGCUCCGGCUAACUCCGUG